UACGGGGGGGGGCAAGCGUUGUUCGGAAUUACUGGGCGUAAAGGGCUCGUAGGUGGCCAACUAAGUCAGACGUGAAAUCCCUCAGCUUAACUGGGGAACUGCGUCUGAUACUGGAUGGCUUGAGUUUGGGAGAGGGAUGCGGAAUUCCUGGUGUAGCAGUGAAAUGCGUAGAUAUCAGGAGGAAUACCGAUGGCGAAGGCAGGUCUCUGGGCUGACACUGACGCUCAUGCACGAAAGCGUGGGGAGCAAACAGG
rnacentral:rRNA from 1 species